AAUCAACGCUGGCGGCGUGCCUAACACAUGCAAGUCGAACGCGAAAGCCCCGCAAGGGGUAAGUAGAGUGGCAAACGGGUGAGUAACACGUGGGUGACCUGCCUUCGUGUGGGGGAUAACGUCCCGAAAGGGACGCUAAUACCGCAUGACAUCCUGCUUUUGAAAAAGCGGAGAUCAAAGCUGGGGAUCGCAAGACCUAGCGCUUGACGAGGGGCCCGCGCCUGAUUAGCUAGUUGGGGAGGUAACGGCUCACCAAGGCGACGAUCAGUAUCCGGCCUGAGAGGGCGGACGGACACACUGGGACUGGGACACGGCCCAGACUCCUACGGGAGGCAGCAGGGGGGGAUUGUUCGCAAUGGGCGGAAGCCUGACGACGCAACGCCGCGUGGAGGACGAAGAUCUUCGGGUCGUAAACUCCUGUCGAGCGGGACGAACGCUUAGCGGAUGAAUAAUCCGCGGAAUUGACGGUACCGCUAAAGGAAGCCCCGGCUAACUCCGUG
rnacentral:rRNA from 1 species